rnacentral:rRNA from 1 species
AAGACCUUGCGCUUUUGGAGCGGCCGAUGCCUGAUUAGCUUGUUGGUAAGGUAAAAGCUUACCAAGGCUUCGAUCAGUAGCUGGUCUGAGAGGACGACCAGCCACACUGGGACUGAGACACGGCCCAGACUCCUACGGGAGGCAGCAGUGGGGAAUUUUGGACAAUGGGGGCAACCCUGAUCCAGCCAUGCCGCGUGAGUGAAGAAGGCCUUCGAGUUGUAAAGCUCUUUCAGCCGGAACGAAACGGUUACGGUUAAUACCCGUGAUUACUGACGGUACCGGAAGAAGAAGCACCGGCUAACUACGUGCCAGCAGCCGCGGUAAUACGUAGGGUGCGAGCGUUAAUCGGAAUUACUGGGCGUAAAGCGUGCGCAGGUGGUUUUGUAAGUCAGAUGUGAAAGCCCCGGGCUCAACCUGGGAACU